rnacentral:lncRNA from 1 species
UCAUGUCUUUCUUCCUUGCCGCCAGCUGGCUGAAGGAUGGGAUCCUGACUGCUCUGCAGCAGCACCCCAAGAGAAAUCUCCUGCACCUUCUGCCCAAAACCUAAAAUGCACUCCAGCAAUUAAAGUUGAAAAUAAUUUCUAGCCAUUAUUACUUUUUUUUAAAGAGCAAUUUCUUAUUGAAGACUUAGGAGAAAGUCUUCUACUCGUCUGUAUAAACAGCAAUAAAAUGAAUGCAUUUUAAUAACUUUUUCCAAGUGCUUAUAAGGUAUUUCAUUCAAUUGUCAACUUUUUCUUUCAUAUAUUUUAUGAUUUUUUUUCCUCCUUCUGCCACGGAUAUGUUGGUGCCAACAUCAUCACGCCACAGCUUGCUGCCAAGACUACGGGAAGUUAAAAAGGGAAGGAAAAACGAAUUUCUGUCCACUCUUUAGGUGAAUUUCCUGUUGCGCUAGAGGCUGAGAAAGCCAUCGGAGAGCCGCAGACAAGCGUUAGAAAGCCAGAGCAGCGCCACGCGAGCGUGGACAUGGUACCGGAGGGAUCGAUUCGGAGCCACGAGCGAACGGUAAUCAGCUGUGACGUUUCCUAAUCCGGUUGUCGUAGGGAGAUUUCACCUAGUGCCUGCCCGCGUCUCUGUGAAGGUGAGAUGAAGCGGCACGAGCGCCCACCACGUCAGCUGUGAGGGAUUUGCGGCUCCGGCUUGCAAGAAGGUACCCGUCUUCCCCACCGCACCGUCUCCAGCUGCUGCACCAAGUCCUGUGCGUCCUCCCUGCGCCCCCCAAGGACUCUGCCUUUUCACUGUCCCACCCGGCUGCCACUCGAAAGGUCGCGAAAGGCGCUUCCAGCCAGGCGCUGAGCCCCCCUGCUGCUACCUGCUGUCCUAUGAGCGGAGCCCUGAUUUUAGCUCAUUAGUCUGCGAGGCGGGAGGGAAGCUAAAACCCCCUCAGUUCUGCUUUGGAGAAGAGCCGAGACAGCCCACAGAGUCGUCCCUUGCCGUGCCAGCAGGAUUUGUGCAGUGCCUGCUCCGAGGUACUGCCAGUUCUGUUUCUCCUGCGCCCCUGGAAGGCUCUGCAACAGAAGGGGAGGAUUUAAUCUCAUGUAAAAUCUGCUGUGGAACAGAACCUGCCCUUCCUAAGUUUUUGGUCAAAUCCCAAGGUGCCAGGACCAACAGCGAUCAUGGCAGCAAAAUACAGCUACGUUUUCUUCUGAACUGAGAACCAAGUAGACAAAGCUGGUGAUAA